rnacentral:rRNA from 1 species
AGUGAACGCUGGCGGUAGGCCUAACACAUGCAAGUCGAGCGGCAGCACAGUAAGAGCUUGCUCUUACGGGUGGCGAGUGGCGGACGGGUGAGGAAUACAUCGGAAUCUACUUUUUCGUGGGGGAUAACGUAGGGAAACUUACGCUAAUACCGCAUACGACCUACGGGUGAAAGCAGGGGAUCUUCGGACCUUGCGCGAUUGAAUGAGCCGAUGUCGGAUUAGCUAGUUGGCGGGGUAAAGGCCCACCAAGGCGACGAUCCGUAGCUGGUCUGAGGGGAUGAUCAGCCACACUGGAACUGAGACACGGUCCAGACUCCUACGGGAGGCAGCAGUGGGGAAUAUUGGACAAUGGGCGCAAGCCUGAUCCAGCCAUACCGCGUGGGUGAAGAAGGCCUUCGGGUUGUAAAGCCCUUUUGUUGGGAAAGAAAAGCAGCAGGUUAAUACCCCGCUGUUCUGACGGUACCCAAAGAAUAAGCACCGGCCAACUUCGUG